AUUGAACGCUGGCGGCAUGCUUUACACAUGCAAGUCGAACGGUAACAGGCCGCAAGGUGCCGACGAGUGGCGAACGGGUGAGUAAUGCAUCGGAACGUGCCCAGUCGUGGGGGAUAACUACUCGAAAGAGUAGCUAAUACCGCAUACGAUCUAUGGAUGAAAUCGGGGGACCGUAAGGCCUCGCGCGAUUGGAGCGGCCGAUGUCAGAUUAGGUAGUUGGUGGGGUAAAGGCUCACCAAGCCAACGAUCUGUAGCUGGUCUGAGAGGACAACCAGCCACACUGGGACUGAGACACGGCCCAGACUCCUACGGGAGGCAGCAGUGGGGAAUUUUGGACAAUGGGCGCAAGCCUGAUCCAGCAAUGCCGCGUGCAGGAAGAAGGCCUUCGGGUUGUAAACUGCUUUUGUACGGAACGAAACGGCUCUGGUUAAUACCCGGGGCUAAUGACGGUACCGUAAGAAUAAGCACCGGCUAACUACGUG
rnacentral:rRNA from 1 species